GAACUUAGCGAAGACGCACAUGUUUUGGAUUAAGAUGUAUGAAAACAACUCAGAGUGAUUUAAAAUCCAAUGUUGAUUGUUCGGUUGCGAUGGUCGAAGUUGCAGUUGACAAAAAAAAAUCAUUUGUGAUUUGAAAAGCAGAAAAAAGUUUUCAACCACUUUAUCUUUUCUUCUAGAAAUCAUUACGGAAACCGGGUAAAAUUUUAAAUUUCCUUUUGUUUGUUUUUUUUUCAGGUUGGUUUCCACCGAAUGCAGCGUAGAUUUUAAGCCACUCGGAUCGGUUAAAGUCCCGGCUGAGCACCUAACGCCCUCCAGGACCGAGAAUGUUAUCCGGAAAUUCUAUUGGCUCAGGAGAACGAUGCUUCUCAUCGUACGGCAGGAAGUGUUGAUUAUCAACUACGGCGAAAAUGCGAUGGGUAUAUUCCCGCCGGAUGUCUUUUUCGGUCAGAUAAACAUUGGCCAGUUCCAGCUCUAAUCCCAUCUCCAGAUCCUGGAAUAGGCAGUGUUUUUUCCGAGAAAUAUCGGUCAAUCGCCAGGUUUCAAGUUGAACGCUCCUGGCCAACCCAUUAGAGCAGCCUCGACUCUAUGAAAUGCUACCGAAGGACAACUGUAUCCAGAAAAAUAUCGAGCACUUACUAACAGGUGUUGAGUGAGCUACAGCUGGUAUAGCUGUAGACCUGGUUCAUCCACAUCAAACUCGUUUCCGGUUCCUACUCGUAACGAAUAUGUGGAAAGUGAUUAUUCGGAUGGAAACCAAACAACAUCUUUCAUCGUUAUUAAGGAUCGAAACCGUACGAACUAAAAGAAAUCGCGAUAGCUAAUAAGAUUGUGGCGAUGACGAGGAUGAUGGUAAGCCGGAUGAUAAGGAUCUCAUGCCACAGCUGAGCGCACCGAUAAGUGAUGUAGCGUUUCGAAGGUGGAGGCGGUCGUUUCAAACUGGCCAAAAUCAACUCACUUUCUUGUUUGUCAUGUUGGAUUCCACCGGAUGCGGCCAAGGGAUCGGUGGAAAUUCGUCUGUUGGCAGGAGGGGAACGAUACUCCUACUCGUCAACAGGAAAAAAAUGCUGCUUGCCACUCGCUAAAUUCGACGAGAAAAAAAGGCGACGGUGAAUAAAAGUAUUUUCAUGUAGUUGUUUAAAUUUACUUAAUUCGAUCCGUAAUUUCACUUUUUUCAUUACAAAAAAUAUAAGCCCUUUCGAA